rnacentral:rRNA from 1 species
UACGUAGGGGGCAAGCGUUGUCCGGAUUUAUUGGGCGUAAAGAGCGUGUAGGCGGCCAAGUAAGUCUGCUGUGAAAACUCGAGGCUUAACCUCGAGCUGUCGGCGGAAACUAUUUGGCUAGAGUCCGGAAGAGGAGAAUGGAAUUCCCGGUGUAGCGGUGAAAUGCGCAGAUAUCGGGAAGAACACCCGUGGCGAAGGCGGUUCUCUGGGGCGGUACUGACGCUGAGACGCGAAAGCGUGGGGAGCGAACAGG